rnacentral:misc_RNA from 1 species
AGGAGUAACUCAUGUCAGAAGCUGUUGUCGCGUCGAGUCACGCGUUGUAGCAGGCACACCAGGACACGGUGACGCCUGCUUGCGAACGUGGUGAAGUCGUGAUUACGGAAAUCCUGGUGAUAAGUGCGUUCGAAAUUCUAGAGGUCGGUCGACCGUCGUUGGUGUCGGUUCCUUGAGUUGUCAGGAAGAAUUUGUAAGGAAAUUGGAAAUUUGAAAUUGUAAGGGAGUUGUGCUAGGGCAGGAUGGUGGCUCAAUUCACUAGGAGACAAUGGCUGACGCUGAUCGUCAUCAGUAUUGCGGACUUUGCGAACGCUAUUUGCGUUUCUCUUCAGGCACCCUUUUAUCCGCAAGAGGCUGAGAAGAAGGGUGCAUCGCCGUCCGAGUAUGGAUUGGUUUUUGGAGUGUUCGAGUUGAUUGUCUUCAUUGUCAGUCCUCUUUAUGGACGAUACUUACACCGGAUUGGACCAAAACUCUUGUUCAACGGAGGAAUCCUAACGACAGGAACUUGCGCUAUCUUCUUCGGUCUGCUGGAUAAGGUGAACGGUCAUUAUCCCUUCAUAGUCCUUUCGUUCGUGAUUAGGAUCGUCGAGGCAAUGGGAAACGCAGCUUUUCUUACAGCCAGUUUCGCCAUUAUCGCCAAAGAGUUUCCGGAUAAUGUUGCCACGACUUUUGCUAGCCUCGAAACGUUCUUUGGGUUGGGACUCAUUGUGGGACCGACUGUAGGUGGCGCGCUCUAUCAGGUUGGAGGAUACACGACGCCAUUUGUUGUUUUGGGAUCCGCGCUGUUCACGACUGCAGUUAUGACUAUUUUUAUUUUGCCUGUUCAUCCGAAUAACAAUGAAGAGACUCAGAAUACAGGAGGAGUGACUAAAGCCUUAAAAAUCCCCGGUGUGCUAAUUGCCACAGCAUCGAUAAUCGCGACCAGUAUGAGCAUAGGAUUUUUGCAAGCAACAUUAGAACCACAUUUAAGGCAAUUUGACCUGAGCCCCGUUAUUUUGGGCCUAAUGUUCGUCAUUAAUGGCGGUACUUACGCUAUUACUGCCCCAGCAUGGGGUUGGCUUUGCGACAAAUACUCUCAUCCUAAGGUAGCCACAGUAGCUGGAUGUAUAUUAGUUGUGGUAGGGUUCUGUCUAGUAGGACCAGCGCCAUUUAUACCAUGUCAAACCACAAUAUGGAUGACAAUUUGUGGACUCGUGGUGCAUGGUUUGGGCAUGGCUGCCCAGCUGGUUGCCAGCUUCACGGAUGCCUUGAGAACAUCCAUAGCCUAUGGCUUUCCAAACAAUCUUGAGACCUAUGGUUUGGUCAGUGGAUUGUGGACGAGUACGUUUGCCCUGGGUGCUUUUAUUGGACCUAGUGUGGCAGGCAUUCUUUUGGACAACACUGGUUUCAGGAAUGGUACUAUGUUCAUCGUGAUGCUCCAUUUAAUAGUGGGAGUAAUAGCCGCGGUGUUCCUGAGCAGUUGCACACGAAAACGAAAACCGUACACGGAGGUUAGUGCCAACGAGGACCUGAGGGUACCUCUGACGGGUAGCAGCGAAUCGAGGAGCGGCAGCAUGCGAUAUGGCAGUCGUGGUCAGGGUGUACCUAUCGACAGGCCCAGCGGCAUGAAUUCCCUGAUCGCGUGCAAUAGUUAUUCGAACAGGGCUGGUGCUUGGUCCAGGGCCUCUUAUAGUGGUCGAUAUUCCCACAGUUAUGGCUCCAUCGAGGCUAAGAGGUACCUGGAAAUGACCACGUGAGGGGACCAUAACUUUGGACGGACGCCGAAUAAUAAAAUCCCGGCAGGGUCGUGCCUGUAAUGCUCUCUCUUUGAUUCGGGGACUGACAUCCUUGGAGCUGUACAAAUUCAGAUAAACGAGUAACAUUUGAAGAUACUGUAUUGGGCUUCAGAUUUGAAUACUUGGAAUACUUUAUGUAGUCGAAUUUCGAAUCUGAAUUUUUUGACGACUUGACGUUAUGAUGAUAUAUUUGAAUUUGGUACAGCUCUGAUAUAGGUCUGGGUCAUUUGGUGUCCUUGAUUUGAUGUUGGGAUCUAGGUUCUGAGGAUGUAAUGUCCCUGAUGUGGUGUUGAAGAUCUAGAUCCUGGAGGUCUUUUAUAAUUCUUGAUGUGAUAUUAAGGAUUUAGGUCCACAAUAUCUAGUAACCUUGACAUAAUAUUAAGGCUCCUGGUCUUCAGGGUCUAUGGUUGAUGUGAUAUUCAGGAUCCAAGUUCUGAAGAUCUACUGUCUUCUCAAUCUGAUGUCAAGGAUGUAGGUCCUGAAGGUCUUUAAUAAUUCUUGUUGGGGAUCUAGGUGCUGAGGAUCUAAUGUCUCUGAUGUGAUGUUGAGGAUCUAGGUCCUGGAGGUCUUUAAUAAUUCUUGAUGUGAUAUUAAGGAUUUAGGUCCACAUCAUCUGGUAUCCUUGAUAUAUUCUUAAGUCUCCUGGUCUCCAGCUUUUAGUAACCUUGAUUUGAUGUUCAGGAUCUACUGUCCUUGAUCUGAUGUUGAGGAUCUAAGUUCUAAUAUAGUACCCUUGCUCAAACAUUAAAGAUCUAGGUCCACAGCAUCUGAUACCCCAGAUCUAAUAUCAAGGAUCCAGGUCCUAAAGGUCUUCAAUAAUUCUUGAACUAGUAUUAAAGAUUUAAGUCCACAUCUAGUAACUUUAUAAGCUUGAUGCAACACUAACUAGUAAUGAGCUUGAUGUAACACUAAGGACCUAAGUCCUCAGAUUCUAGGAUUCUUGAACUAAUAGUACUCAGGAUGUAGCAACCUUGAUCUAACAUGGAAGAUCUGGCCUUAAGAACCUAGUACCUUAAGAACCUAGUACCUAGUAAUAUCUAACCCAACAUUAAAGAUCCAGGUCCCAAUAGCUCAGCACACCUGAUCUAAUAUUAAGGAUCCAAGUCCCAAGAAUCUAGUAUCAAUAUAUAUAUAAAAUCGAGGAUUUAAGUAAAAAGCAAAAUGGCGAUUUGUUUCCAUGUUUGUCAGAUUUUAAGUGAAACCACAAAAAGAAAUUUAAUCAACAAAAUCUGAGACUUCCUAACCUUACCAAUGCUAACUCUAAUAUUCCUCAGCAUAAAACCACUGCUCUUAAACUCAGAAUGAAGCUUCGUGACUAAGCUAAGCAAAGAAUAAAUGUUUUCUAUCUCAAAGAAAAUACCUACAAGUUAACCUCGAUUACCAAUCACUAAAGAACUUAAAGAGUCGCAAGCAGACCAGACAUCAUUCAGACGUUUCAAACAGUAUUCUCAGAAGGCAGACAAACGAAGAUAACUGGAUGAAUACAGAAACAUGUAACCUACACGUCUAGUAAGAUAGCAGUUGAGAUCUAGAAGAAUCUAGAACAUAUUAAAUUUUGCUAAAUUACUAGACGUGUACAGUGUUCGUAAAUGGAGUUUAUUUAGUAAAUACACAUAUACUAGGCACGAUCCUGAAAAGAAGUAUACAAGAACGUUCAAAUCGAUAGAACCUUAUUUUUAUUCACCAUCAAAGGCACCAGAGAGCCACGAUAGGUUUGUACAUACACAUAUGUUUUAGUUGUUACUAUUCGAUUGCUAGCAUAGUAGAAUCAUUGCUCAAUGUACGUAAUAAAGUGAUUUUUAUUUAACCUGAA